rnacentral:lncRNA from 1 species
CCUCAGUAUAUUCCUCAUAUGUACUCCACCAAGUGUGCACACAAUAUUGUUUCAACUGUUUGGAUUCUGUACAACAUGUGUACAGAAAAAUGAUGAACACCAAAAUGAAUAUGGAAUGAAUUUGAGUGGUUGAACCAAUAAACAAGGCUACAGCAGCAUGCAAUCAAGUUUAUUAUGUACAUGAACAAUAAACCUGGCAAAGGGAGUGCUGACUGGACAAAUGCCAAGUCAACUGCUUUAAAAGUAUUAGAAGAGGACACCAAUAAUUUAACUGUCUUGGGUGUGGAGUGGAGUACAUGA